CUGCGGAGGGAUCAUUACAAGUGACCCCGGUCUAACCACCGGGAUGUUCAUAACCCUUUGUUGUCCGACUCUGUUGCCUCCGGGGCCACCCUGCCUUCGGGCGGGGGCUCCGGGUGGACACUUCAAACUCUUGCGUAACUUUGCAGUCUGAGUAAACUUAAUUAAUAAAUUAAAACUUUUAACAACGGAUCUCUUGGUUCUGGCAUCGAUGAAGAACGCAGCGAAAUGCGAUAAGUAAUGUGAAUUGCAGAAUUCAGUGAAUCAUCGAAUCUUUGAACGCACAUUGCGCCCCCUGGUAUUCCGGGGGGCAUGCCUGUUCGAGCGUCAUUUCACCACUCAAGCCUCGCUUGGUAUUGGGCAACGCGGUCCGCCGCGUGCCUCAAAUCGACCGGCUGGGUCUUCUGUCCCCUAAGCGUUGUGGAAACUAUUCGCUAAAGGGUGUUCGGGAGGCUACGCCGUAAAACAACCCCAUUUCUAAGGUUGACCUCGGAUCA
rnacentral:rRNA from 1 species